rnacentral:rRNA from 1 species
UGUAUAGCUAAAGCUAACUGUGUUUUGUAAAAAAUAUAGAUUCGAUUUAUUCGUAUAAAGUUCAAGGUAGAGUUAUGAUAAUGACAUUUUCUAUCUAUAGUCUUGACCAACAUGCGUGCCAGCAGUCGCGGCAAGACGCUAAAGACAAGUGUUAUUCAUCUUUAAUAGGUUUAAAGCGUACCUAGACGGUAAAUCAAGCCUUAAUCGGGACUAAUUUAACUAGAGUUAGAUGUAAGGGUGCAUUAACGUACUGUUGAGUGUAGAGAUGAAAUUCUGUCAUACCAGAUGAUUGGCACGGGUUUAGGCGAAAGCAUCACCUUAUGUAAUAACUGACGUUGAAGGACGAAGGCUUUGUAUCGCGAACAGGAUUAGAUACCCCAGUAGUCUAAGCAGAAAAUGAUGAGUGUCAUAGGUUAAAUAUUAUUUAGUCUAUAAAUGAAAGUGUAAGCAUUCCACCUCAUGAGUAAUUUGGCAACAUUGGAAUUGAAAUCAUUAGACCGUUUCUGAAACCAGUAGUGAAGUAUGUUGUUUAAUUAGAUGAUCCACAAAGAACCUUACCACAAUUUGAAUAUUUUUAUUUUACAAGCGUUGCACGGCUGUCUACAGUUAAUGUCGUGAGAUUCUGGUUAGUUCCAUUUAAUUAACGUAAACCCUUACUUUAUUUUAUUUAUAUAAAGUUGUUCGCCGCUAGAUUGGUAUUGAUAAAAGGGGG